GCCGGGUGUGGUGUCGGGCACCUGUAAUCCCAGCUACUUGGGAGGCUGAGGCAGAAGAAUCGCUUGAACCUAGGAGGUGGAGAUUGCAGUGGGCCAAGGUCAUUCCACUGCACUCCAGCCUGGGUGACAGAGUGAGACUCUGUCUCAA
rfam:Homo sapiens chromosome 3, GRCh38 reference primary assembly.